UAGUAAUCGCAGAUCAGAAUGCUGCGGUGAAUGCGUUCCCGGGUCUUGUACACACCGCCCGUCACACCACGGGAGUUGGAGACGCCCGAAGCCGACUAUCUAACCUUUUGGAAGAAGUCGUCGAAGGGGGAAUCAAUAACUGGGGUGAAGUCGUAACAAGGUAGCCGUAUCGGAAGGUGCGGCUGGAUCACCUCCUUUCUAAGGA
rnacentral:rRNA from 1 species